GCAACCGCCUUAUCUCCUCGCUCGCUCCCUCCUCUCUCCCACGCCGCCCCGUCCCUCUCCCUGCUCGUCCCCUCAUCUCCUCUUUCCUCGACGCCGGAUCCCCUGCUUGCCUCUCCGACCUAGGCCAGAGCCUCGCCGGCAGCUCCCCCAAGUCGGCGCCCGCUAGCUGCUGGUGUGGAGGCGAGCUUCUCCGACGGCGACGGCGACAAGCUUGUCCAGGUCGUCAUGGCCGGCGACGACGAACGGGAGGGCGGAGGUGUUUCCAUGGCCACCUUUGCCGAGAGCUCGCACAUCUUCAACCCUCAGCCACGUUAGUUUUGGGGUGGCUAUUUUUUGGAUCCGCUGCUGCCGUGCGCCGUGCGUCUCGAUCAGGCGCAGGUCGCCGCCCUAGGAGAGCAGGGUGGCGUGGUCUUUGUGGUGGGCAUGGAGCAAGGGAGGAUGAGGCGAUGUCAUGAGGAAAGGAGCAGCAAGGUCGGAGUUCCAGGCGGUGCUGGCCAUCGUCACAUGUCCCCAGUCUAGAUCUAAGAAAAAAGAGAAGGGGAUGAAUCUGGAGGAAGAGCUUGGUGAAGAACAAGGUGUUCGUAAUGGCAACAGUGGUAAUCAACAAUGAGAAAAAAGGACCGAGAUUGGAUUUGUACUAGCAGGUGAUGCCUUAAUUUAGUUCAUGGCAUUAUGGCGGGACGCAUGUGGUAAUUGGUUACAAUGGUGGCUCAUGGAGUUAAAAUUUUGUGUUCUGUACAGAUUUGAGAUGAUAGAAAUUCAAAAUAGGGGUCCUUUGCUACUGUUGGUUGUGUCCUUGCUUCUUGGAGAGGAGGGAGGGCAGAUGACUUUGAUGCCAGAAAUAGGGGAGGAACAUAAGGUCAAGUAUCUGUGUUGUUUGGUACCUUAUAGAAGAUGCAUUACGCAAUGGUCUCGGCAACUGCAGCGAGAUUUCACAGUCAUGAUUUUUCCAUAUUGGUAUGGAUUCUAAAACCUUAUAGGAAAAUGCCAUCUUUCACAAAAUGAAACUAUGGCUACAGAGCUGCUGAGGGAUGCCCUGUAGUGGACUGGUUGAGACUGUCGAGCAUCAGGUUGCAAAUCUCCAGAGGUACAAGGGGCUCAUUGGUAGCCUGGCCUGCUUUUGGUAUAUCAAUGAGGAUAUCCCUGACAUAAAUUCGUUUUGUGACAGUGGGUGAUUGAGAAAGGAGCCCAAGCAGAAGGCAGAACACAGAUGGAGCAGUUGACUUGUUCAUGUUCAUUUCCCUUUCCGCAAUGAAUAGAAUCCAAUUAAUUAAUUUGGGUGUAUGCUGAUUGAGAUAGUUAAUCAAUUGGGUAUGUAGACCAUGGUGUUGGUAGACUACUGAUGUUGCAGACGGAGGCUUACAGCAUGGGGUGGCCACAUCCAGCGAGGGUGGCGUUCUGUGGAUUCGGCGCCCCCCAUCCCAGCAGCGCGUGGGAGCCAGUGUCUUCGGAAAGAGCUGGGUCUCCUUGCCGGCGACCUCACCAUCUUGCCAGCGACUUCACCUUCACCAGCCCAUCUACAGUUUCUUGAGCUGAAGCAUUGCGAUGGUGAAACGUUAGCUAUUGCUGAUUCUAAACUUGGAAAUGCUAUAAAAGAGAAGCUGAAAAUUGGCUGCGUUCACAACAGUGAUGUGAUGGAGCUAAUGAGAGGGCUCAGAAAUCAGCUUAGUGAGCUUAUAUCUUGGUUGGGCACACAGGAUCUUGGUCCAAGGAGCUUGGGACUUUCCCACAGCUUGUCUAGAUACAAGCUGAAAUUCAGUCCUAAAAAGCUGUUGAAGUAUGGCCUUGAAAGGUAAGUUGGAUGGCUGGAGAUGCUUAAAAGAUGUAACAAGAGAGAAGAUAAGAGGGAGAGAGAGAAGGAGAAGAGGGAGUGCUCGAUUCGAUCUGCAGGAGAGAGAGAGAGAAGAUAAUAGGGGGAGAGAGAAGGAAGGAGAGGAGGGAGAACUCCGUUGCCGCCGCGUGCCGUACUUCUGGAUCGAGCGCUGCCUGACCAAGGGAUAAGAGUAGGAGGUAAAAACCCUAGCCACCAUGCUCCUGUGUGGGCUGCAUCCCCGCAUCUCCUGUUUCAUCAUCUCACCAUCGCUGCCUCUUCUCCUCUUCAUUGCUCUGCUUCUUCCCCUGAUUCCUCUUUUUCGUUUUUUCUCUUUGUGGCGCCGCCGAGGAUAAGUGGAGCAGCUGCUGAAGCAAGCGCGGUGCUGGUGCGCUGCUGACGAAGCGGUGGUCAACGGUGCCGUCGACGUCGUCCUUGGCAGAAGUUAUCGCCAUUGGCUUGCGGAAUAUGCUCCUGCUGGGUUGUUCUUGUUUAUUUUCUCUAUCCAAUAUCAUUGCAGCCUUGGACAGAAGAGGGCCAGCAACAAACAGAAGCAACCACUGUCCUGUCCAGAACAUGGAGGGAUCGGCUUUGGUAGCAUCCAAUGCUGGCGGGCCACGGGGUUGUAGCAGAGGAAGCUGACAUGGUGUUUGAAAUUCAUAUGGUCAUUGUGAUCGACCAGAUGCUGCGCCCAAUGUCACCCAGAGCCUCCAGGGCUUGUUAGCAUCAUAAAACGAACCACUAUGUCGGAAGCACAAUAAGCGAUACGAGUAUAUUCAUCGCCCACGCAAAGUAAGCUCAAUCCAAAAGUUCAAAGGCAAGAAAAUCCAUCUAAAGCCUGGAAAGUCCAUUCUCCGUGGUGAGCCUUGCAUGCACUACUUAGAUGAGUUUAGUCGCCACGUUGUGUGGGGCAACACAGUUAGGCUCUACAACCAUAAUGUUCGUGCACUGUGAAAGAUCAUCCACAACACCACCACACCUAAUAACUACUAUGUGUGCCACAUGACAGAAACAUUUGCAACACAAGGCAAAAGAAUGUACUUUAAUGUCCACUUUUCUAUGGGUUCCCUUUUCCCACACAUGGAUGCUGACCACGGUGAACUUCCAAUCACAACUGGAGACGAAACUACCACUGUCACGGCCCGCUUUAUCAAGGGAGUUGACAAAAGGGCCACCAUCACUAAAGGCUGGAGCGACUUCUUUCGUCGGACACACAUGAACGAAGGGCAAGCAUAUGCUUUCGGCUUCAAAUGCACUUCCAAGGGAUUGCGCCUGUUUGUCUACUCAAUAUAAGCAAGCUGCAGGAGCCCCUUGCUAUAUAACAUAGUAUUAGUAUAAAUGCCUACAAAGACAUCUAUGUUUAUCCUCCUUUUCAAUCUUAUGUAAUUCCCUGAGACAGUGUUGUGCAUUUAGCUAUCGAUUAUCUGCUACUUAGACUACUCUGUCACAUGCUUUUGAAACAACCAUGAUAAAGGAAAUAUAUGCUCCUUCAAGUGCAUAUC